rnacentral:lncRNA from 1 species
UUGCUUGCCGUCAAGCUCCUUCUGGACGACCUUCACUCUAUCUACUCUUCUCCUUCACGCGCUCCUCCUCUUAAAGCUUAAGCAGUGACAAUGUUCUUCCGGACUAUUUUUCUCCUUCUCUAGAAACAACUUGCCAUAGGAGACCCCGUUGUCUUCAAUGUUGUCCAUUAACCUUCUUCGAUAUAUGACUUUAACUUCAAUGUCAUCCAUUAACCUUCUUCGACGUAUGGCUUUAACGGUGUUGUGGCCGUUGGCCAUGUCUAUCGCCCAUAGUCGGUUUCUCAACAACUUUAUCCUGACCCCUAACAGGAACAAUGGUUACAUUAUUACGUCAUUUUUCUUCCUCUCUUGUUUCAGUUGCUAAAUACGAUUAAAAUUUUUUACUUUCCUAUUAGAAAAUUUUAUUUAACAUACUUUACAUGUACCUAUACAAAGCUACAAAGAUUAAAAUGCCCUUCACCUUUCCAAACAUCAAUACAUUUAUCCACUAUUUUUUUAUAUUUCAAUAUAUUUCUCCCCUACUUCACCAAAUCCCAUGCAAUAAUUAUCUUCGUGGACAACUAUGAUGAGUUUUCUUACGAAAUCUAUUCGAUUUUAAGAAAUUUCAAUCAUAUUUUGGAGGAAUUGACCAAUUUUUUAUUGUAAAAUUUCUACGUUCCAAAGGAGACAUACAACUUUGGAAUUUUGCAAAAAAUAAUAAUACUUUAAACUCUCGAGAUGGUAAGGCCCUGUUUAGUUUCUAAUUUUUUUUCUAAAAAAAUCAUAUCAAAUCUUUCGACACAUAAAUAAAGCAUUAAAUAUACAUGAAUAUUAAAACUAAUUAUAUAGUUAUGCGGGAAAUCGUGAGACGACUCUUUUAAGCCUAAUCAGGACGUGAUUAGCUAUAAGUGCUAUAGUAACCAACAUGUAUUAAUAACGGAUUAAUUAGCCUUAAAAAGAUUCGUCUUCUUUUGUAAUUAGAGUAUAUUUAAUAUUUUAUAUAAGUGUCAAAAACUUGAUUCGAUAUUUUUUAAAAACUUUUUGCAAACUAAACGAGCCUAAGAUACCCUUGCAUCGUCAAAAGGACAGGAUGAGAGGCAUUUGCAACUUUCGGCGUCGCAUCGUAGGCCGGUUGUUAAAUCCAAGAAAGGAAAACGAAUAUAUUCCUGUUGCAUCACAAUUUGUCGUCGUUGAUUGCGAUGUAAAAUAUGAGUAGUAACAACCAAAAACUCACCUCACUAAUUAAUCCGGCACACCGAGAUGAACACUCGAACUGAUUACGAGCCUAAUUAACCAACCAAAGUUACUUGUCUGGCACUAGCAAAUCUCGGAUUAAUUUAAUCUUAAGUUUAUGCACAAAGUUUUUUUUUACUGAGUUACAAAAAGAUGAGAUAAAACUGUAAUCAGGAAGAUUAAAAGGUGGGCGCGGUUACGUGGCGGCGGAUGACGGCGAGGUUGAGAGCGGCCGCGGCGUGACGUUCUUGCUGCUGCCGCCGCCGCCGACGGAGAGGGAGCGGAAGAACGUCUUGGGACGCGGCGGCGCGGUGGCCUGNNN